CGUAGGUCCCGAGCGUUGUCCGGAUUUAUUGGGCGUAAAGACGAGCGCAGGCGGUUUGUAUAAGUACUGAAGUUAAAGGACUGUGGCUCAACCAUAGUUCGCUUUGGUAAACUGUCAAAACUUGAGUGCAGAAGGGGAGAGUGGAAUUCCAUGUGUAGCGGUGAAAUGCGUAGAUAUAUGGAGGAACACCGGUGGCGAAAGCGGCUCUCUGGUCUGUAACUGACGCUGAGGCUCGAAAGCGUGGGGGAGCGAACAGGAUU
rnacentral:rRNA from 1 species